GACGAACGCUGGCGGCGUGCUUAACACAUGCAAGUCGAACGGAAAGGCCCUGCUUUUGUGGGGUGCUCGAGUGGCGAACGGGUGAGUAACACGUGAGUAACCUGCCCUUGACUUUGGGAUAACUUCAGGAAACUGGGGCUAAUACCGGAUAGGAGCUCCUGCUGCAUGGUGGGGGUUGGAAAGUUUCGGCGGUUGGGGAUGGACUCGCGGCUUAUCAGCUUGUUGGUGGGGUAGUGGCUUACCAAGGCUUUGACGGGUAGCCGGCCUGAGAGGGUGACCGGCCACAUUGGGACUGAGAUAAGGCCCAGACUCCUACGGGAGGCAGCAGUGGGGAAUAUUGCAGAAUGGGCGGAAGCCUGAUGCAGCAACGCCGCGUGCGGGAUGACGGCCUUCGGGUUGUAAACCGCUUUCGCCUGUGACGAAGCGUGAGUGACGGUAAUGGGUAAAGAAGCACCGGCUAACUACGUG
rnacentral:rRNA from 1 species